GAAAUGCGAUAAGUAAUGUGAAUUGCAGAAUUCAGUGAAUCAUCGAAUCUUUGAACGCACAUUGCGCCCUCUGGCAUUCCGGGGGGCAUGCCCGUUCGAGCGUCAUUAACACCCCUCAAGCCUGGCUUGGUAUUGGGCGUCGGGAUACCCUCCCGCGCCCCGAUUUCGCCGGCUGGACGACUCCGAUCUCUCAAGCGUUGUACAAUCUCGCUGGCGAGUCGGGCGGCCACGCCGUUAACCUUUAAUCAAAUCGUUGACCUCGGAUCGGGUAGGAAUACCCGCUGAACUUAA
rnacentral:misc_RNA from 1 species